rnacentral:lncRNA from 1 species
GGGUGAUUGAGAUGAGUGCUGGAUGUCUGAGUAGAGCUGGGAAGAUAACAUCUUUCAGACACAGCAAAGGAAAGCCCCUUCAAAUGAGUGAGCUUGAAAAGUCACCUGGGCUCAGAUAUAUUUAAACUAUGUUCUUGAGCUUGUAAAUGUCUAUGUUUACUGGGUAUUGAUUUAAUGCCUUAAAUAUCCCAACUUAUCAGGAAUUGGACUGGAUAGGUUGCUGUGAGACUUGAAAAACUGGGGCAAAAUGGUGAAUUUUUGACUGAAUUCCAGCCCAAUAGCCUCAGAAGAAUGGUUGGAUGAGAGGUAAUUGAUGAGCAUCAACUUCUGCAAUGCUCCCAAGUAAAAGGGCAGCUGAAAUCACCACCUGGUUAUGAAUCACAGCCAUGUCUAGCCCUUCAAAUAAAAAUGGGCUCUGGUAUGAAAAUUUGUCAGUUUGGGAU